AUUGAACGCUGGCGGCAUGCCUUACACAUGCAAGUCGAGCGGCAGCACGGGUGCUUGCACCUGGUGGCGAGUGGCGAACGGGUGAGUAAUACAUCGGAACAUGUCCUGUAGUGGGGGAUAGCCCGGCGAAAGCCGGAUUAAUACCGCAUACGAUCUACGGAUGAAAGCGGGGGACCUUCGGGCCUCGCGCUAUAGGGUUGGCCGAUGGCUGAUUAGCUAGUUGGUGGGGUAAAGGCCUACCAAGGCGACGAUCAGUAGCUGGUCUGAGAGGACGACCAGCCACACUGGGACUGAGACACGGCCCAGACUCCUACGGGAGGCAGCAGUGGGGAAUUUUGGGCAAUGGGCGAAAGCCUGAUCCAGCAAUGCCGCGUGUGUGAAGAAGGCCUUCGGGUUGUAAAGCACUUUUGUCCGGAAAGAAAUCCUUGGCCCUAAUACGGUCGGGGGAUGACGGUACCGGAAGAAUAAGCACCGGCUAACUACGUG
rnacentral:rRNA from 1 species